rnacentral:rRNA from 1 species
CACGUAGGCGGCUUGGUUAGUCAGAUGUGAAAGCCCGGGGCUUAACCUCGGAAGUGCAUUUGAUACUGCCAGGCUUGAGUAUGGGAGAGGGAAGUGGAAUUCCUGGUGUAGAGGUGAAAUUCGUAGAUAUCAGGAGGAACACCGGUGGCGAAGGCGGCUUCCUGGACCAAUACUGACGCUGAGGUGCGAAGGCGUGGGUAGCAAACA